AUGUGUGUGUACGUGUUAGUGAGCUUGUCUGUAAGGAGCAUGGUUGUGUCGGAGCCUGUCUGUGGUGAGCAUGUGUGUACAGUGAGCUUGUCUGUAGUAAGCAUGAGUGUGAUGGUGAACUUGUCUGUAGUGACCAUGUGUGUGUCAGUCAGCUUGUCUGUAGUGAGCAUGUGUGUGUCAGUGAGCUUGUCUGUUGUGAAUCUGUGUGUUAGUGAGCUCUUCUGUAGGGCUCAUGUGUGUGUCAAUGGGCUUGUCUGUAGGGAGAGUGUGUG